rnacentral:rRNA from 1 species
AGUCGAGCGGAGAUGAGGUGCUUGCACCUUAUCUUAGCGGCGGACGGGUGAGUAAUGCUUAGGAAUCUGCCUAUUAGUGGGGGACAACAUUCCGAAAGGAAUGCUAAUACCGCAUACGUCCUACGGGAGAAAGCAGGGGAUCUUCGGACCUUGCGCUAAUAGAUGAGCCUAAGUCGGAUUAGCUAGCUGGUGGGGUAAAGGCCUACCAAGGCGACGAUCUGUAGCGGGUCUGAGAGGAUGAUCCGCCACACUGGGACUGAGACACGGCCCAGACUCCUACGGGAGGCAGCAGUGGGGAAUGUUGGACAAUGGGGGGAACCCUGAUCCAGCCAUGCCGCGUGUGUGAAGAAGGCCUUAUGGUUGUAAAGCACUUUAAGCGAGGAGGAGGCUACUGAGACUAAUACUCUUGGAUAGUGGACGUUACUCGCAGAAUAAGCACCGGCUAACUCUGUGCCAGCAGCCGCGGUAAUACAGAGGGUGCGAGCGUUAAUCGGAUUUACUGGGCGUAAAGCGUGCGUAGGCGGCUUUUUAAGUCGGAUGUGAAAUCCCCGAGCUUAACUUGGGAAUUGCAUUCGAUACUGGGAAGCUAGAGUAUGGGAGAGGAUGGUAGAAUUCCAGGUGUAGCGGUGAAAUGCGUAGAGAUCUGGAGGAAUACCGAUGGCGAAGGCAGCCAUCUGGCCUAAUACUGACGCUGAGGUACGAAA